rfam:Acetivibrio ethanolgignens strain ACET-33324 ACET-33324.Scaf75, whole genome shotgun sequence.
UUAUUUUGAGGUCGGAAAUGGUUCCCGACGCACUCCGUAAAAAGAGUACCUGAGAUGAUGGAUACACCGCCCAUCCUAAAUAA